rnacentral:rRNA from 1 species
GACGAACGCUGGCGGCGUGCUUAACACAUGCAAGUCGAACGGAAAGGCCUCUUUCGGGGGGUACUCGAGUGGCGAACGGGUGAGUAACACGUGAGUAACCUGCCCUUGACUUUGGGAUAACUUCAGGAAACUGGGGCUAAUACCGGAUAGGAGCUCCUGCUGCAUGGUGGGGGUUGGAAAGUUUCGGCGGUUGGGGAUGGACUCGCGGCUUAUCAGCUUGUUGGUGGGGUAGUGGCUUACCAAGGCUUUGACGGGUAGCCGGCCUGAGAGGGUGACCGGCCACAUUGGGACUGAGAUACGGCCCAGACUCCUACGGGAGGCAGCAGUGGGGAAUAUUGCACAAUGGGUGGAAGCCUGAUGCAGCAACGCCGUGUGCGGGAUGACGGCCUUCGGGUUGUAAACCGCUUUCGCUCAUGACGAAGCUUUGUGUGACGGUAGUGGGUAAGAAGCACCGGCUAACUACGUG